rnacentral:rRNA from 1 species
UACGGAGGGUGCAAGCGUUAUCCGGAUUCACUGGGUUUAAAGGGUGCGUAGGUGGCUUUGUAAGUCAGUGGUGAAAUCUUAGAGCUUAACUCUAAAACUGCCAUUGAUACUGCUUAGCUUGAAUCAAGUAGAGGUGGAUGGAAUAUUACAUGUAGCGGUGAAAUGCUUAGAUAUGUAAUAGAACACCGAUUGCGAAGGCAGUUCACUAUGCUUGUAUUGACACUGAGGCACGAAGGCGUGGGGAUCAAACAGG